GGAAAGGCGCGCGAUACAGGGUGACAGCCCCGUACACAAAAAUGCACAUGCUGUGAGCUCGAUGAGUAGGGCGGGACACGUGGUAUCCUGUCUGAAUAUGGGGGGACCAUCCUCCAAGGCUAAAUACUCCUGACUGACCGAUAGUGAACCAGUACCGUGAGGGAAAGGCGAAAAGAACCCCGGCGAGGGGAGUGAAAAAGAACCUGAAACCGUGUACGUACAAGCAGUGGGAGCACGCUUAGGCGUGUGACUGCGUACCUUUUGUAUAAUGGGUCAGCGACUUAUAUUCUGUAGCAAGGUUAACCGAAUAGGGGAGCCGAAGGGAAACCGAGUCUUAACUGGGCGUUAAGUUGCAGGGUAUAGACCCGAAACCCGGUGAUCUAGCCAUGGGCAGGUUGAAGGUUGGGUAACACUAACUGGAGGACCGAACCGACUAAUGUUGAAAAAUUAGCGGAUGACUUGUGGCUGGGGGUGAAAGGCCAAUCAAACCGGGAGAUAGCUGGUUCUCCCCGAAAGCUAUUUAGGUAGCGCCUCGUGAAUUCAUCUCCGGGGGUAGAGCACUGUUUCGGCAAGGGGGUCAUCCCGACUUACCAACCCGAUGCAAACUGCGAAUACCGGAGAAUGUUAUCACGGGAGACACACGGCGGGUGCUAACGUCCGUCGUGAAGAGGGAAACAACCCAGACCGCCAGCUAAGGUCCCAAAGUCAUGGUUAAGUGGGAAACGAUGUGGGAAGGCCCAGACAGCCAGGAUGUUGGCUUAGAAGCAGCCAUCAUUUAAAGAAAGCGUAAUAGCUCACUGGUCGAGUCGGCCUGCGCGGAAGAUGUAACGGGGCUAAACCAUGCACCGAAGCUGCGGCAGCGACGCUGAUGCGUUGUUGGGUAGGGGAGCGUUCUGUAAGCCUGUGAAGGUGUGCUGUGAGGCAUGCUGGAGGUAUCAGAAGUGCGAAUGCUGACAUAAGUAACGAUAAAGCGGGUGAAAAGCCCGCUCGCCGGAAGACCAAGGGUUCCUGUCCAACGUUAAUCGGGGCAGGGUGAGUCGACCCCUAAGGCGAGGCCGAAAGGCGUAGUCGAUGGGAAACAGGUUAAUAUUCCUGUACUUGGUGUUACUGCGAAGGGGGGACGGAGAAGGCUAUGUUGGCCGGGCGACGGUUGUCCCGGUUUAAGCGUGUAGGCUGGU
rnacentral:rRNA from 2 species